rnacentral:lncRNA from 1 species
AUGUUCCCGGACUCCUCCGCCUUCGACUUCGACUACUCCCAGAGCGGCAUCUGGUCCCCGCUGAACAAGGUGCCCCGCGCGUCGUCGCCGCCGCCGCCGCCGCCGCGCUCCGGCGGAGGCGGGGCCGAGGGCUCGAGGGACUUCCUCAUCGCCAACCCGAAGCGCAGGGCGAGGGCCGCCAUCGGGGGCAGGUCGUCGAGGUCGCGGCGGCGGCGGCUGAGGCUGCGGCGGGAGGACGGCUCAUUCCUGAACCUCCACGAGACGGGCUGCGCGAGGCUGGACUUCUCGCCGCCGCCACCAUCGUCGCCUCUCCCGGCCAAGGAGGAAGGGUGGAGGCGGGUGCUCAAGGCGGCGAUCAGGAAGUUCAAAUCGCGGCAGCGCCGAUCCCGGCCGGCUCCCCUGCUCCAGAUGAUGCUGCCAACGCUAUGAUCGAUCGAUCGACCGAGCAAUCGAUCUCGUGGUUCGCUCGUUCAGUUCGAUGUUGCAUGAAUCAAUCACCACGCGUUCUUUCAGUCGGAUUUGAAUCGCUGGCCGCCCGCGACACGCCCCUUCUUCGUGUAGUAUAAUUUAGAAGUUACUGAAUUUAUCCGUAUACCACAUGUAAUUUGUAAGUUGUGCUUUGUAACGACGCUCUCGCUACAGAUUCAAAUUUGAAUAUAUAAAUUCAAUCGACUUUUUAGGCG